GAUGAACGCUAGCUGGAGGCUUAAUACAUGCAAGUCGAGCGGGAUUGGGUAGCAAUACCCAUGAGAGCGGCGCACGGGUGAGUAACGCGUACACGACCUACCUCUAACAGGGGGAUAGCCCUGGGAAACUGGGAUUAAUACCGCAUAUUAUUCUGAAUAAUAAAGGUUUGGAAUGAAAGCUGAGGCGGUUAGAGAUGGGUGUGCGUCUGAUUAGCUAGUUGGUAGGGUAACGGCCUACCAAGGCGAUGAUCAGUAGGGGGCGUGAGAGCGUGGUCCCCCACACGGGUACUGAGACACGGACCCGACUCCUACGGGAGGCAGCAGUAAGGAAUAUUGGUCAAUGGGCGAAAGCCUGAACCAGCCAUCCAGCGUGCAGGAAGAAGGCCCUAUGGGUUGUAAACUGCUUUUAUCAGGGAAGAAACCUCUGGAUUUACUCCGGAGCUGACGGUACCUGAAGAAUAAGCACCGGCUAACUCCGUGCCAGCCGCCGCAGUAA
rnacentral:rRNA from 1 species